rnacentral:rRNA from 1 species
UACGGGAGGCAGGAGUGGGGAAUAUUGCACAAUGGGCGAAAGCCUGAUGCAGCUAUGCCGCGUGUAUGAAGAAGGCCUUAGGGUUGUAAAGUACUUUCAUCGGGGAGGAAAAAACAAAACUAAUAAUUUUAUUUCUUGACGUUACCCGAAAAAGAAGCACCGGCUAACUCCGUGCCAGCAGCCGCGGUAAUACGGAGGGUGCUAGCGUUAAUCAGAAUUACUGGGCGUAAAGAGCACGUAGGUGGUUUUUUUAAAGUCAGAUGUGAAAUCCCUGGGCUUUAACCUAGGAACUGCAUUUUGAAACUGAAAUACUAGAGUAUCGUAGAGGGAGGUAGAAUUCUAGGUGUAGCGGUGAAAUGCGUAGAUAUCUGGAGGAAUACCUGUGGCGAAAGCGGCCUCCUAAACGAAUACUGACACUGAGGGUGCGAAAGCGUGGGGAGCAAACCGAGGGAUUAGAUACCCGU